GCAUUUCUGUGGUUUUUUUUUUUUUUUUUUAAUUCUACAUCAUGAAUAUCUUCUUAGGCUCUGUUGUAAUUUACAUCUAAUGGUAUCAUAUGGAUUUAAUGGGUUUUCUCCGUUAUAUAAUUAUUUAGCCUUUCCAAGUCUUGUAACAUGCAAACCAUACGUACUUCCUUUUAUAACUUUCUUUGUACCUCUCUCUGUAUGGUUAUAACAAGAAAUACAAAAAUAUUUUAAUCUAUUCUUGUUCUCUGUCUCUCUCUCUCUGUCUCUUAAAAUUGUAUUCAUUUUAACUAACAGUGGGAGAGAAUUCUCUGUGGAAAAUAAUCUAUAAAAACAAUUUUUCUUUUGGUAUUCUCUGAUCUGUUAAUGGUAAUUUUGUCAAAAUACCAGCUGAUUUAUGACUGUAUAAACUAUCAGAUUUAUCAGUAGAAUUAAGACACUAAAGAAGAGAGUGAAGAAACAAAUCACAAAGGGUUUUAUAAAGGUGAUGCCAAGGAGCUUUGUUAAUAAUGAAUGCCACCCCGGCCUUGUAGACAGUAUCAUGAGUCAUCCUUUCAAUAUGAAUUGAAGUUAUUGAAAGCGUUAAAGUUUCACUUUUGAGUCUUAAUAUCAUCUCACACUUUGCAGGGCGAGGACAUUGCCGAGAUGGUAGCAGUUGGAUCAUGAUACAUUGCAGUCUGUAGUACUUGGCGAAACAGGCAGUAAUGGAAGGAACUUCCUUUUCUUUGUUUUGAAGUAAAUAUGACUAAUGUCCAACACUGAUAGAGAUGUCUUAGUCAGAACUUGAUUUCGAUAAGCUGGAAUGCAUUCAUGAAGAAGUGCUAUUAGGAAGUUGAGCUAAAACCAAAAGAAAAAAAAAAGGAAGAUGACUUUGGCAUGACAUUAAAAAGAAAUUAUGUCUGUAUGGUAUGUGUGGUAUAUCAUAUUAAGACUGUACUUGAGAUACAAGACAAGAAGAGGUGCGAUCAAGAGAGAUUUGGGUGGUCUGGAGGAGGAAGAGUAGGUGGAAAUGAGAACCAGAAUGUGUAGGAGUUCAUGUAUUUGAGGCCAAUCUGAAGCAAGAGAAAAAUUUGUAGGGGAAGAAAAGAAAAGAAGGCCAAGUAAUAGUGCACAGUGGGAGUAGUGGUGAGGGCAGAAUAUGGGACUUAAAGCAGAUAGCUCUUUGGAGGGUGCCACCGUAAGAGGAAACAUGAGAGAGAAAUGCUAAAUAAAGGGAUUUGAGAUUAAAAAGGUUAAAUGACUAGAGGUCAGAGUAUUGCCAGACAUAAGUAGAUCUGUGGAGAGUGAAAGUAGAACCAGAAGAUCUCCCUUUGAAAACAGGAGAUGUAGGAUUUCACCCUUGCUUUUGUCUGUUAGCUCUGCUUCCCCUCCUGCCAGCUGAUUUCCAGGAGAUGACAUAAACAAAACAGAGCCUUCAAAAGUUGACCCAACUCUUCCCAUGGUUAUCCUUGUACGCCCUCAGGGGAAAAUAGUGCUGUGUAGGUCGUUUCUGUAGUCUUUUGCAACAUUUGAAGGCUCAUCAAACUUAGUAUCUCGAGUGGAUUUCAGUGUCUCCACCUAUUAAUAGAAGCACAUAAACUAAGAACAGCAGAGAGUUUCUGCGUUCAACAGUAAGUCACAUCAGAUGUGCAUGGGUCUGAGCAGCUGAAACUAUCCUCUACCAACUAGCAAUGUAUGUUUCUUCUCAACAAAGUGAACGUGUUCCAUGUUAUUAAUGCUCUUGUUGCAUGACUUCUCAACAGUAUACUCAAAGCAUGAACAGAAAAAGUUGUUGCAAAUACUUAGAAGUGACUUCGAGUACCUAUUUUUUUUUGUUUUGAAAUGGAAAAAUUAAAUAAUACGUAGAAAGUAAUAAUUGUGAUUGAAAGCAGAUGCUGUUUACUUUAAUGUUAAUCCCAUAACAUAUUUCCCCAGUCUUACGGAGAUGUAAUUGACAUAUAACAGUAUAUUAAAGAUGUACAACAUAAUGAUUUGAUAUGUUUAUAUGUUGUGAAAUGAUUACCACACUAAGUUAGUUCACACCCAUCACCUCAGAGAGUUACAAAAAUUUUUUCUUCUGAUGAGAACUUUCAAGACCUACUCUCUUAGCAACUUGCAAAUAUACAGUACAGUAUUGUUAAUGAGAGCCCCACAAAAUAUUGUCUCAAAAAUACGAAUAAUUUGUCAUAGGGAGUUGCUGGAAUCCUGGAAAUUUUGUGGGGAUCUUCAGGUCGAGUUCUGAAGAUUAGUUCAUUGUUUUUAAAAAACAAAUGUACUGGCUUAAAGGCUACUUCCUUCUCUUCCAGUCUCCUCCCCCUUUCCCAAACACACACAGAGACAGACCCACACCACAGAGUGUGCUGUCCUAAAUCCAAGAAGGAAAUAUUAUUGAGGAUGCGAUAACCCUACAACAACAAAACGGAAUCUACUUGCUAUUGUUAAAUAUCUGUGUCAGUUAAAUGUCAUUGAAAUAAGACCUAAAUUGCAUCCCUUGUAUGAAAAAAAAAAAUUUGGCCUAAAUUAGAGGAACAUCAUUCUAGCAUAAUAGAGAAAAAGAUUCUUUUAAUGGGAACUGUGAAGGAUCUGGCACUUUAUAAUUAUUUUUAAUUAUUUUCUACAAGGACAUAUUAAUGUGUCACAGUACUAGAAUUGCUGCCCACUGGUAGAAGUCUUACACACUGUAACUUGUUACUUCUCUAGACAUAAACUUCACCCAGACUUUUGGGUGAAGACUUCUUCCUCAGUCCAUGGGCCUGAUACUGAGCCAGUUUAGAAGCAUAGGGACUCUUGCAGGUCUCAAAAGUAGACGAAUAAAUGAUGGUUCAUGGGAGAGAUGAUAUGUGGCUUCAAAUUCAAGUUCAUUAUGUAGGUUUCCUGGAGGACUCUUUGGGAUACUGACCCCUUUGGUACAAGAGGUGAACUGUAUCAAGAUUUUGUCAAUUCUAAAACUCUUCAUGCCUGCUUACCCUGUGCCAAGUGCUUGGAAAUGGUAGCAAACAACCUAGACAAGAUUCUCUACCCUCAGAGCCUUGUAAUCGAAAAGGGGGACAGACAUUAAAUAAAUUAGCACAUAACUGAGUACUUAGUUGAAGCAAGUAGUCGGAAGGAGAUGCAGAGGGCACUAAUGAAAGUCAGUCGUGAAAACACCUAAGUCUAGUCUGUGUUGUCAGGCAAGACCUUCCCAGAGAAGUGACAUUUAAAGUGUAAUUUAAGAGGAAGAAUAGAAGUUAGGUGAGCAACAGGAGGGGAUAUGGAAGAAUGUUCCAGGCACAGGGCUCCACCCAGCAUGUGUGGUAGCCUGAAAAUAGGAGCAGUAGAGGGCUACCAAAAUGUCAAUGUGAACCCAGUGGAAACAGUCCUGUGUGGUGUGGUUGUGAGGUCAGAUCAUGCAGGGCUUUUAGAUCUUGGAGUCGGAUGGAUUUGUGUCACCUUAAGCAAGUCCCUUGGUUUUAAGCAUGAUUUACAACUUACCAAUGUCUUCUCCGUUAGCUGUUUUGCAAAACGGACUACCCCAAGUUAAGUGGCUUUAACACAACCAUUUUGGGACAAGUCAGUUUGGGCUGGACCCACAGGCAUGGUUCCCCAGUCUUACUUUACUCUCCUUGAAAUCUUUCUCUUGGUUUGCAAAGUACAGCUGAAAAGUCAAGUAAUGUGAGGGCUGAAAAACAUUCAUUGUCUGGUAACGCAAGGUUGUUUUUAACCCUAGUCUACGAUGCUAUUAUGAAGGUGGACAUUGUUCUGUAGUGUGUUAAGCAGUAAAUAGAGGCUAUGGUGGGCUGAAUGAUGGCCACCCAGAAAUGCUCACAGCCUAAUCCUUGGAACCCAUGAAUAUGUCAGGUUAUACGACAGAUGAGAAUUAAGGUUGCAGAUGGAAUUAAAAUUGUUAGUCAGCUACCUUAAAAUAGGGGGAUUUUCCCAGAUUACCUGGACAGGCCCAGUGUGAUCACAGGGGAGGGUGGUUAAAAGUGAAAGAGGAAAGCAAAAGAGGAGAGUGCACUGGAGAUGUGACUACAGAAGAGGUUAGAGUAACGGGGUGUGAGCAGUUGACUUGACUGCCAUUGCUGGCUUUGAAGAUGGAAGGGGCCAUGAGCCCCAGUGUGGGUAGCCUCUUGAAGCUGGAGAAGACCAGGAAACAAGACUUUCCCCCAGAACUUCCAGAAUAAAUGCAGCCCUGCUGACACCUUGAUUUUAGCCCAAUGACAUGCAUGUCAGACUUAUGACCUACAACAUAAAGUAAUAAAUUGGUUUUGUUUUAAGCCACCAAAUCUUGUAGUAAUUUGAUUACCAACAAUAGGAAGUGAACAGAGGGUAGGGAGAGUCGGAUAUCCACAUAGACCCUCUAAAGAAGUUUGCCAUCAAAGGAAGAAGAAAGAGAAGAUGAGGACCUGCAGGAUUUAGGGAGGAUGGUAUUGUUUGAAAAUGGCAGAGAUUCUGCACUUUUGAAUUUUUACAUUAUUUGUGUGAUUUCUGAGUUAUUUUUAUGCUUCUUAGAGAUACAGCAACAGAGUGCUUACCCGACACUCCCCACUACUAUCACAUAAAACUCUUUAAAAGCAAGUUAAUUGUACUUGAAUACAAAUCAGAUAUCUCUGCAACUUUAAAACUUGAUUGCACUAAAAUACCAAUUCUAUAAGAACAUUUCUCUUUAGCUUAAUACUGACUAAAACUAAUUAUACCCUAGUAGUACUUGACGGUAAUAUAUGUUAAACAUUUAUAAGCCUUGAAAUUAUGCUUACGUUGAGAAAGUAGAUGUCAGGACACCAUGAAUUUGAAUUUUAUUUCUAAAUCAUUACAAGUAAACUGGGCAUUAUUUUUCAAUCCUAUAAAUUGUAAUUGAUCUCUAUAAACAAUAACAGUAGUCAAUAAACACUGUGCAGUGCAUGCUUAUUAUAUCUGGCCCAAGUUUAACUCUUGGUAGCUCAUUGAAUCCUCAUGACAAUCUUAUGUGGGAGUUGGAAUUAUUUAUAUUCACAUUCUACAGAUAGAGAAUAUGAGCCAUUAAACAUGAAAAGACCCAUUUAGCAAAUACAAAAGAAUUGAGAUAUAAUUUUUUUUAAGUUUUUAUUUAUUUAUUUUGAGAGAGACAGAGACAGCACAAAUGGGGAGGGGCAGAGAGAGAGAAGGAGAGAGAGAAUCCCAAGCAGACUCCAAACUGUCUGUGCAGAGCUCGAUGCGGGGCUCAAACUCACAAAACCAUGAGAUCAGGACCUGAGCAGAAACCAAGAGUCAGACGCUUAACCAACUGAGCCACCCAGAGCGCCCAGAGAUAUAAUUUGUAUUAUCUUAAGUUGGCUUUAUUGUGAUUUUUUUUACAAACUUCUGCCUUUUAAAAUAUUUUUUAAAAAUUUGCAUGUAGUUGACACACAAUAUUACACUGAUUUCAGGUGUACAACAUAGUGUUUCAUCUUCUCUAUAUGUUAUGCUACCUCACCACAAGUAUGGUUACCAUCCGUCCCCUUACAACACUAUUAAAAUACCAUGGACUGUCUUCCCUGUGCUGUGCUUUUUAUUCCUGUGACUUACUCAUUCCAUAACUGGAAGCUUGUUGACCCAUUUUGCCCAUCUCCCCACCCCCUUCCCACUGGCAACCAUUAGUUUGUGCUCUGUAUUUAUAAGUCUGAUUAUGCUUUUGUUUGCUUACUCAUUUUUUUGUUUCCUAGAUUCCACAUAUGAGUGAAAUCUUAUGGUGUUUGUCUUUCUCAUUCCGACCUACUUCAUUUACCAAAAUACCCUCUGGGUCCAUUCUUGUUGCAGACGGCAAAAUCUCAUUCUUUUUAAUGGCUCUGUAAUAUUCCAGUUGUGUGUGUGUGUGUGUGUGUGUGUGUGUGUGUGUGUGUGUACACACACCCCACAUCUUCCUUAUCCAUUUGCCAGUAAACAUUUAAGUUGCUUGCUUCCAUAUCUUGGCUGUUGUAAAUAAUGCUGCAGUAAACAUAGGGGUACAUAUAUCUUUUCAAAUUAGUGUUUUCAUUUUCUUUGGGUAAAUACCCAGUAGUGGAAUUACUGAAUCACAAAUAUCAUGACCUGAGCCAAAGUCAGGCGCUUAACCGUCUGAGCCACCCAGGUGCCCCUGUUGCUAAUUUUUUUUUUUAAUGUUUAUUUAUAUUGAGAGAGAGAGAGAGAGAGAGUAUGUGCGGGCAGGGGAAGGAGAGAGAGAAUCCCAAGCAGGUUCUGCCCUGUCAGAGCAGAGCCUGAUAUGGGGCUUGGUCUCAUGAUCAUGACCUGAGCAGAAAUCAAGAGUCAGAUGCUUAACAGACAGAGCCACCCAGGCGCCUUCUGUUUUUAAUUUUUUGAGGAAGCCCCAUACUAUUUCCCACAGUGGUUGCACCAGUUUACAUUCCCACCAACAGUGCAUGAGGGUUUUUUUUCCCUCUACAUCCUCACCAACGCUUGUUAUUUCUUGUCUUUCUGAUUCUAGCCAUUCUCACAGGUAUGAGAUGACACCUCACCUGUGGUCUUGAUUUGUAUUUCCCUGAUGAGGAGUGAUGUCGAGCAUCUUUUCAUGUGUCUGUUGGCCAUCUGGAUGUCUUUGGGAAAAUGUUUAUUUGGGGUUUUUGUCUAUUUUUUAAUCAGAUUGAUUUUUUGGUGUUGAGUUGUGUAAGUUCUUUAUAUAUUUUUUAUAUUAACCCCUUAAAAUGUAAUCAUUUGCAUAUAAGAAGUUUCUUUUAGUUUACUCAAGGAACCAGCAGUCUAUACAAGCAUCAUUUAAGGUCUUGCAUUGUAUGGACUAUAAAAUAGGUUCCAGCUGCUGCACACUCUCAGAUUUUCUUCCUCUCUUCUUUCUUUUGCACGUUAACAAUUUCUUGGAAAUUUUUGGAAAUGCCUAUCAUAUUUGGUAAAAAUUUAAACAUAACAAUAAUAUCAAGAGUUGGUGAGAACUUUGUUUUUUAAGGCAUUCAUUCACUGUUGGUGGGGAGUAUGAGUGGCUAUAAGCCUUUCUGAGGAAAGCGCUUAUAAAAUAUUGUCAGCAAUAAAAAUUUAAUAUGUAAGUAUGUUAUAGCUCUGCAGUCUAACUCUAUGAAUCUGUCCUACUAAUCUAUACUUGCCCAGCCAGACAAAAUGUACGUCCAACAAACAAAGAGAAAGAGCAAUGGAAUUAGAAAAUCAUCAUUGGAUCCAAAGUGGGUAGACAGUGGUUUGAUGAGGAAUAGGAUAUUUCUACAUAGUCUCAAUUCAUCUCCCCAUAAAUUACCAGUUAAUUACAAAAGGAAACAGAGUAACUCUACUGUGGAGAAACCUGGCAAACACCACACUAAUCAUGUGAUCAAAAUUAACACCAAUAUUGGGAGAACUAACAUCACAUGCUUCCUGAUAUUUUCUAAGACGGUCACAUCAUGUCAUUGCUAUUCCUUCCAAGAAUGCAUAACCUGCAUCUGAUCAUGAGAAAACAUCUGGGGGGAAAAAAUGAAAUUGAGGGUUUGUCUAUGAGAUAACUGAACUAUCUUCUUCAUAGAUGUCAAGAUCAAGAAAGAAAGACUGAGGGUCCAGACUAAAGACCUAGGAUCUCCAAUGCAUUGUGUGAUCAUAAACUGGGUCCUAGGCUAGAAACAAAAGUAGCUAGAGAGCGUAUUAGUGGGACAGAUGACAAGACUUGAAUAAAGGGCAAAUUAGAUAAUAGUGUUUUUAUCAUAAAGUUUCUGAUCUUGAUAAUUGUACUGUGGUUAUAGAAAAGGGUGGGUUUUUUUUUUCCUUAGGAGGUGCACCCUGAAGGAUUUAGGGGUAGGAGCGUGAUGUCUCCAACUUAUUCUCAGGAAGAGUAUGCACAUAUAUAAAAACACGAAAGAAUACUAAAGCAAAUGAAGCAAAAUGUAAACAGUUGGUGAAUUUUCAUCAUGGUUAUGUAGGGAUUCCUUGUACUGUUCUGGCAAAUAUUUUUUGUAAGUUUGAAAUUAUAUCAAGAUAAGUUUAAAAAUAAAUAAAUAAAGCCCACAGGCAAGGCAGGAUGACCUAGGAAAAACUUUUCAAAUAGGGCCCAGAUGUAAUGACUAGUUUUCACCAGCCUUUCUUGACUAAAGAUGAUGCCACAUUUCGUGUCAAUAUUCCAUAUAAUGUAAGCCUGAGGAACAAGAUUAGAGUAUAAUUUGUCCAAAAUGGUGUUAUUCAAGUUUAUACUUCUCUUCUGUUCUGACUUUGGCCAGAGCCAUUAUGGCAUAUCCAGAAAGAGGUAUAGAUACAAUUACAUGUAUCAUCCUUUGUAUGUAUUAUUUCUCACAACCAAAUAUUUGAUGAGAUUUGGACUGCCGACAAUUUGAGGUUCUAAUCUCUGACAAGGACCUAGACUGUAGUGGUGCCUGGCUGGCUCUAUUGGUAGAACGUCGGACUCUUGAUCUCAGGGUCGUUAAUUCUAGCCCCAUGUUGGGUGUGGAGCCUACUUCAACAACAAUAACAACAACAAAGAACCUGGACUCCUAGACUGUAGCUCUUCUGUGUUGCCAAAUUCAAUUCAUCGUCUUGAACAGGCAGGUGGGCUAAGGUUAUCACCUCUUAGGAAAAAUUAAGGAGUCUUCCAUAAGGAUGGAGGUAUUCCUGAAGGCAAGGCCAAGUAAUUUCUUUUUUUUUUUUUUUUUUUUUUGAGAGAACAGCCCAGUCCAUUCCUGCAAGAUAUAAAUUGACUCUUUUAAAUUAUGUGCUAUAAAUGGGUCAGUGAUAAUUUUAGCUUGGUACAUUCUUAGAAGAGAUUGAAACUCAUUGUUUACUGUGGCCGUUAAAAAAACCCCUCUGUGUAGCAACCCCCCCUCCCGCCAAGAAUGUCUACUUUUGAGCACUGUGACAUUCAGAUGAGCCCUCCAGACUUGUCAAACUUAAUUGUGAAAAACAUGUAAGAUAGCACAAUUUUAUGACCAAAUAUAUAGAAUUAUUGGCUCUAAGCCAUUUACAUGUUUGAAGGACAAAACAGUUGAUUUUCUUUUUUUUUUUUUAGAACAGUUGAUCUUAAGGCAGUUUUUUGGACAGUAAUUAAUCAGACCAGCUGCACGAUGAGGCUGCUGUUAGUAAGCAACAGUAAAACCGUAUUUGGAGGAAGUGAAACACAUUUCUAAUACGGCAUAAAAAAAUCACUCUUUGGAGUUAGACUGCCCAUAUUCAUAAUCCCUAUCCUCCCACUCACAGGAUAUACAACUUUGUAUAUUUGUUUAGCCUCACUAUUCUCUAGGGAGUACCUAUUUUCUCUGGGGAUCAUACUAUUAGAAUAGUACCUAGGAGCACUGUUGAUAAGGGUCAGAUUCACUGUCAUAUCUAAGUGGAACAGGCACAUAGAAGGUGCCCCAUGUCUGUAGUUGUUAUUACUUCUUUGUCUGGUCUCAAAAGCAGCGAGCUGUGUUGAGAUAAUAAAUUUUAAAGGAGAGCAGUGAAAACCCUGUUUUAUGUUCCUGAAUUCCUACCUGUCAGCAGCCCUUUCCUGCUUCCCUGACUUACAGGCUAUAGAGAUGCGGCUUCCAUACAAACAGCAGUAGCCAAGAGCCUUCACUGAGUCAGUACCACUUGGUCCACUUUAUGCCCAGAGAGGCAAGAAGAUUCAGGAAUAUCAGUAAAAAUGGAGCAUUCUCAUGCUGUUUCUGACAGUUUCCCUAUCAUAAACAGGAUAAAAACAGUCAGCAUUGGCUUCAGACAAACAAACAAACCACCAAAAAACGCCAAACUUCAUGCUUGCAAUUUGUUGUGAAAGAAAUUGGCAGAAACCUGAGAAAUCUAAUUUCUAGAAAUCUAACGAAUCCAUAAUUUGCACAGGAAACUUAUUACUCAGGGUAGACAUGUUGGCAUGGGCCAAAAGCUGACCAAGCAGAGUAGACCUGAGGUAAUUCCAGUUUCCACUCAGCGACUUUUUUCAGUCUGAGCUUUUAGUAAGUCUUUUAUGGGAGGAAAUAUAAUUUAUGCUCAGUUGGAAAGGAUGGGGGUGAAGGGUGGGGUUCCUUGCUUUAUAAAGCUGAGAAGAAUCUUCCUCCCAGAUAUCAGUAAGGAUCCGGGUUUUUGUGAUGUCACUGACCAUAUCCAUGCCAUUGCUAACUCUGUCCCAGAAUCUGCCUGCUUUCCUGAUUCCAGUAUUCUCCUUCAAGAGAGUCAAGAUUUUAUAAUUCAGCUCAUAUUUAACAAUAUCCCUACGGUCUUUUAAAUCUGUGUUAUUGUUGUCUCACUGCCUGGCUAAAUUGUUUUUACUUAGGGCAAGCAAGCCCCAACUUUACCCUAUUAGAUUUGCUAGAUCUCUUGAUAACCACACCAAUGUAAAGACACCAGAAUGCGGUCCCAGCACAUCCUCAGUAGUCAGAGAUCUUGCUGAAAAUGAAAACCCCUUGCUCCAUUUCACUUUGUAAAGCUCUGGACCUCACCAGUCCAAUCCUAAAUACAAAUAAUCCCCAGGACAGCUAUGCCAAGCAAGGGUAGAAGUCAGUGAGAAGUGAGCUCGGUGCCCCGGAGAGGCCGGAACCGGGUGUGUGUGCCGUGAUGAUAAAGUUUGCUGUGCUGGAGACCUGUAGGACACUAUUUUCGGAUGUUUCCCAUGUGCUGGCAGCCAGUACUCGUUGGUUUGUUUGUAAAUAGAACUUGAUAGGAACUUUUCGAUUCAAAUUUACAAUGUUGUUGUAGGGGCCAUGUUCCUUAAACUGUUUUUGGCUUCCAACUCCCUGGAGAAUCUGAUAAAAGCUGUAGACCCUCUCUUCUCAGAAGAAUGCACAGAUGCUUACAUAUGCUUGAAAACAAUUGCACAUAAUUUCAAGGAAUUUACAUGAAGCACUUUCAGAGCCUGCUCUUCAUUGCUCCAAAACCAGCCAUAAGAAGUCUAUCUUCCUCUCCCUCAAAACGUUCCAGAGGGCUCUUUUGUACCUCUUUAACAGUCUUUGAAUAAUUGAGGGUGAUGAUGAGGAUCAUGGUAACUACCUUGUAUUGAGCUUUCAGUGUUUGUUAGACACUGUGUAUUCCUUACCCCCAGACGUGAACUCUGGGUCAUCCUCUCCAAACCUGUUCUUCCAGCAGCCUUCCCCAACUCCAUCUCUUCAGGUGCUCCGGUGGGCCUGGAUCUGUACUCCUACCACUGCAGUCGCCUUCCUCCUAACCACCAUCCUCUCUCACCCUGCUUCAUCCCAAGUGAUCCCCUUAUUUCUACCCUUGCCCUUCUCAACACAGCAGCCAGAAUCAUUGAGCCUAGUAAAGCGCAAGUCUUAUCUUCCCUCACUGUUCUACUCAGAAUCCUCUACAGGCUUCCCAUCUCAUUCAGAGUGAAAGAUGAGAUCCUUCCAAUGGCCAGCUCAGCUCCAGAGGAUCACAAUACGUUGUACCGUGCAUGGUAUGCAUAGCAGCCCCGGUGAUGGUCUGUAAGACUUUGCACAACUCUCCCACCCCCAUAACUCAGUGACUUCUGUGACCUUUGCUCCCCUGCUACGUUUUCCUUGUUCACUGUGUUCUAGCCACGUUAGCUUCCUUCCUAAUUGUUAGGUGCACCAGGCUCUCCCGCCUGAAGCCUUUGCAUUUGUUACUUCUGCCAGGAAUCGGGUCCCCCCAACAUCUGCUUAGCUCAUGUCUUCACUUUCUUAAAUUCUUUGUUCAAGAGUCACCUUGGUGAGGCAUACACCGACCACCCUUAUUAAAAUGCAGUCCUCGGCUCUAUCCUGGCAUUCCCUAUCUGCCUUUAGCUGUGCUAUUUUUUCCAUAGCAAUCAUCAUCUUCCAACGUAUUCAUAGUAUCUUGUUUACUUAUGUUUCUCUCUUCCCACUGGAAUGCAGGCUUCACUAGGAUGGAAAAUUAUUGCCUGUUUAGUUUGGCAUAUGGGUGCAGUAUCUAGAAAAGUAAUUGUUAUAUAAUAAGGGCUCAAAGCCUGUUGAAUGAAAUGAACAAACCCUAGGGAAAUAUAUUGUUCUCCUUUUAUAAUUAUGGUUUUAGAUUCAAAGAGAUUAAGCAACUUGCUCAAAGUCACACAACUGAUGAAUGGUAUCACUAGGAUUUUUGGAUUUUCUGACACUAAAGACUUAGGUUCUUAAAUACCAAAAAUACUUCUUUCCAAGGAUAUAUAAAAUAAGAGGUCAAAAUGUAGUCUAGAAGUGGCAGUCUUACAAGGCUGAGGAGUCAAAAGUUGGAGUUUGGGGCCAACACAGUGGCUAGCAAGGACCCUUUUCCUUUGUGGCAAAGGACCCUGCCAAGAAGGGAACCACAGGUGAGGUGGUUCAGAAAUCUCUGUGUGUGGACUGACUUCCCAGCAGUGAGUGCAUGGGGUGAACAUCUAAGUGGCCCAGACAAAAGCUGGAAAGGUUGAAAGAGCCCGAUAAAGAUUUCAGCAGCUCCCACCUUCGGGGAGACAGUUUGCAGUUAAAUUCCUCCCAAGGUAUAGGGACUUGGUAAACUCUACAAGACUUUUGUCAAAAUUCUAGAAGAGCCAGGCCAUAAGAGUAAGAACCACACUUGCAGAAUCAAAAAUAAGUGGUGGUAGCGAAUUUUAACUCGUUGAAUAAACUAAACCCCUGAGUUCCUUCAGAUGUAAAUAAAUAAAUUGAAUGAUGGGAUUUGGGAUAAUUACAUGGUUUCAAAGUACUUCUCCAAAAAUACUUACUAAUUACAAAGUGAAAUAGGUAACUUUACGGUAGAGAAGCCAAGGAGACACUGCCUUAAUCAAGAGAUCAAAGUGAAAAUCAUUGAUACUAGGAUGAAUCGAAAUCAGGCCCUACCUGAGACGAUGCACCAAGAACAGUGCGACUUCCAUGAUUUCCUCUAGUGAUGCUCACCUGAGUAUGAUCAUGCAGGUACAUCAGACAAAUUCAGAUUGUGGGACAGUGUGCAAAGUACGAAGUCUGUAAUCUUCCCAGUGUCAAGGUUAUGAAAGUCAAGGGAAGACAGGAACUAUUCCGAACUGAAGAAAUUGGAUGACUAAACUGAACAUUUGAUUCUAAACUGGAAACUUUUGCUGUAAUACUUUGAGAACAACUAAGGAAACUUGACAUUAGGAUUGAGUAUUAGAUGGUAACAAUAUAUUUGUGUUAAUACACUGAUUUUGUAAAUGAUCAUGUCAUGGUAUGGCAUACAGAUGAAAGUGUGCUUGAGUGAUGGGUUGUCAACUUGACAAAUCACUUAGAUGGGUUCCUGAAAAAAGUUUUAUGACUAUAUUUAAGACUUGUCUUUAGAUUUAUGAUUGUUUCAAAAUAAAAUGGAAAAAAAAAGUGUAUUUCUAUAUAGUAGGAUCAAACAACUGGAAAGUGGAAUUUUUUGAACAUAAAAUACUUGGGAAUAAAUUUACUCUGUAAAUUCUACAUUGCUGAGAGAAAUUAAAGAAAACAUGGUUAAUAGAGAGAUGUACCAUGUUCAUGAGUAGGAACACUCAAUGUUGUUCACAUGCCAGUUCUCCCUAAAUUGAACUAUAGAUGGAAAACCGUCAAAGUCACAAUCUAAGCAGGGUUUUUGGUGGAGACUGACAAACUGACUCCAAUUCCUAUGCAAAAACAAAGGAACUAGAAUAGCUCGUUCAGUCUUAAAGAAGAACAAAUAUGGGAGGCUUAAAUGAUCUGAUUUAAAAAUGACUAUUAAGUCACAGUAAUCAAGGCAGUAUGGCAUGAAACAUAUAGAUCAGUGGAAUAGAACAAGACUCCAGAAACACACCCACACUUCUAUUAGCCCUUUGAUUUUUGACAAAUGUUACAAAGCAAUUCAAUGGGGAAAGAAGUAAGUGGUGCUAGUACAAUGAAAAAAGUGAAUCUCAACACUUACUUUGCUCCAUACACAAGUAUUAGUUUGAAACAGACCCUAAACAUAAAAGUUAAGCAUAUAAAGCAUUUAUAAGAAAUCAUAGGAGAAUAUCUUUAUAACUAGUGUAGGCAAAGUCUCCUCAAAACAGUAACCAAAAGGAGGAGGCGGACGGAAGCAGUAUGAGAAGAGGAGGAAGAAGGAGGAGGAGAAAACGGAACUAAUAAAAAUUAAACAUUUUCUGCUCAUCAAGAGACACUUUUGAGAAAAUUAAAAGCAAACCACUCACUCAGAGAUAAUAUUUUCCAUACAUGUACUUGACAAAGAACUUGUAUCCAAAAUCUACAAGAAUGCCUUUAAAUUAUUUUAAAAAGUAAACAAAGAGAGCUUGCUCCUAGAAUGGUCAUGUGAGGAGCUACAUGGACCUGCUUUCCAGGGAAACAACUGUAACUAAUAAAAGUUAUCAUUUAAAAUCUCUGGAGGUUAGCCUGUGGGUGGGCAUACAUACAGCAGUUGAAGAAACAUUUAUUCAAGGAAAUCUAAGUGUUAGAACAGCAAAAGUGGGUGGCACUUGAGCCAUGACCUUCUGCCCUCUCCCACACUGCAUGACCGAAACUCCAUUUGGGUGGGGGUAGCCAAGAAGUUGGGGUCCCCUUCCCCUCAGCUCCCAGUUAAGAGAUACUGUAUCUCAUCAGGAGAUUUCAGGACACCAAGCAUUUCUCAUUCACCCAGCUCCUUGCUACAGAGGCUAAAUUGUUGGCAAAGAAUUGUGGCUGAGAGUUUGGGAGCUCCUUUCCUCCACCCAGCCCCCACUCCUAGGGCAGAAGCUUUGUUCUAGGCUUGGAAAGUUGAGAAUAUGGAGCUCUGAUGCUCUUGCCCUGCUUGAUUUGUAGGGUGAGGGUUCUGUGCUGGUAGAGGCAAACUGAGAAGGCCAGGGACUAGUGCCUUCAUGUAGCACCUUAUUAAUUAAGCAGGGGUGUCACUCUGAGAGAAGUGGGCCACUGUCCUCACCCCCAGCCCCAGAGCAGUGCAUCAGAGAUUUCCCCAGAGGGAGAAGUAGUGCAUAAACCCGGAACUCUGAAGUUCUUAACAAAAGAACUUACUUGAAGCAGAGUAUGUAGAAGUUCAAACCUAAGGAUGAGGGGGGAAAAUGGGGACUUUGGUGGUGGUAAGCAAUUAAGAGGAGGCUUCGUAGCUCCAUUAGAGCAGCACACUAAACUGUUGGAAUGAGCAUACCAGGGAAAUAGUCAAGGAUGAAGAACACUUUUGGGGCCAGAACAAAUCUCAAACACCGGCCUCAGAAACUAACCCUACAACAGAGCCUGAAUUUAUUGGAUCAGACUGGGGAGUAACUUAUGCCCCAGGGCAUAAAUUGAAAACAAUAGAUCAAUCAGCCAGCCAUUAGUGGAGCUCAACAACUGGGUAUAAUAUGAAAGAGUCAGACAGCUUAACAGAUCAGGUUCUUAAAGAGAGUAAAAAAAAGAGUCCUGCUAAACCAUUCUAUGAAUGCCCAAGGUUGUGUCCUCUAAGGAGCAGCAGCAGAGACUUCUUGCAGGUAAAACAGACCUCACUAGAAUACUCAGUUAUUAAAUAAAGAAAAAAUAAAUAAAAACAAGCUUCUGGUGGGGGUAGGGAGUUGGAAUCAGAUCAUAACUUGAAUCCACAAGAAAAAAAAAAAACGAAGAGAACCAAAAAUGUAAAUAAGGCUAACAUGCUAAAUUAUAAACAUAUACUUGCUCUCCUCUCAGCUUCUCUGAAGGACAUAAAAUUGUGUAAUCAUUGUUAUAUUCUGGUGGCUUGUAACAUGUAGUUGUACUGUGUGUAACAAUAUCGCAUAAAAAGGAAGAGGCCAUGAGCUCUACAGGAGUAAUGUUUGUGUGUGUCACUGAAAUUAAGUUGGUAUAUAUCUGAAGCUUUUUUGAUGUUAAUGUGCAUAUAAUAAGCCAUAGCACAGCCACUAAUAAAAAGUGAGAUUCAUUAAAGGAAUUAAAAUGUUGUAUUAGAAAAUAUUCACUUAGUGAAACAGAAAGGAGUAAAAGAGGAAUAGAGAAAAAAUAUAUAGAAAACGAAAAAGUAGAACAGCAGACAGACAUCAACAAUAUCAAUAAUAACAUUAAGUGUAAAUGGAGUAGUCCAUGUAAUCAGAAGGCAGAAGUUGUCAGACAAGGGGAGAAAAGAAUCAACAUUAUGCUGUUUACAGGAGAUACAGUGUAGAUUCAAAGAUACAAAUAGAUUAAAGAAUGAAGAUGGAAAAGAAGAAAUCACACAGCAACUACAAGAAAGCAGGAGUGGCUUACUAAUAUCAAACAAAAUAGACUCAAAAACAAAAAAAUGUUACUCCAGAUUAAAAAGGGACACUUCAUAAUGAUCAAAGUGCCAAAUCAUCAGGAAGACAUAACAAUUGCAAACAAACAUGCAUCUAACAAUGUAGACCCAAAAUACGUGAAGUAAAACUGAUAGAAAUGAAGGGAGAAAUAAACAACUCAACAACAGUACUCCACUUUCAAUAAUGCUUUAGAUUAACUAAGCAAAAGAGCAGCAAGGAAAUAGAAGAUAAACCACCUAGAUAUAACAGACAUCUGUAGAGCUCUCUGAACAAACACAGCUGAGUACAUAUUUUUCUCAAGUGGAUAAGGAACAUUCUUUUAAGAUAGGCCAUAUGGUAUGCCACUAAAAAAAUAAGUACACCUCUGGGUGCUUGGCUGGCUCAGUUGAAAGAGCAUUGACUCUUGAUCUUGGGGUUGUGAGUUUGAGCCCCACGUUGGGUGUAAAUUUUACUUAAAUAAACCUUUUCUUAAAAACACCUCAAUAAACUUUAAAAAGUUUAAAAUUAUACAAAGUAUGUUCUCUGACUGCAAUGGAAUGAAGUUAGAAAUCAAUAACACAAAGAAAUUUGGGAUAUUCACAACUGUGAAAUUUAACAAUUUACUCUUAUGUAACCAGUGUGUCAAAGAACAACUCUAAAGAGAAAUCAGAAAAUACUUUGAGAUGAGAGAGAAUGAAGACAUGACAUACCACAUCUUAUGAGAUGCAGCUAAAGUAGUGCUUAGUGGGAAAUUCAUAGUUGUAAUUGCCUGAAUUGAAAAAGAAGAAAAAAAAUUUUUUUUAAAGAAGAUCUCAAAUCAGUAACUUUAUCUUCCACCUUAAGGCACUGGAAAAAGAAGAGCUAACUCACACCAAAGCAAGCAGAUACAAGGGAAAUAAUAAAGAUUAGAGCAGAAAUUAAUCCAAUAGAGAAUGUGCAAACACAAAAUUAGGAAUAGAAGAAGGGACUACUAACUACAGAAUUAAAAAGGGUCAUAAGGGAAAACUGUGAACAGCUGUCUGCCAAAAAUUAGACAAUUUAGGUGAAAUAAAUUCCUAGAAAGGCACAAACUAUUAGAGUUGACUAGAGGAAAUAUAACAUCUGAAUAGACCUAUAACAAGUAAGUAAAUUGAAGAAGGAGAAGACGUAAUGAACUAACCACAAUGAAAAGCCCAGACCCAUGUAGCUUCCGUAGUGAAUACUGACAAAUGUUUAAGAAGGAAUUAAUGCCAGUCUUCACAAAUGUCCAAAAUAUAGAAGAGGAAGAAACACUUUCCAACCAAUUCUAUGAGGCCAGUAUUACCUCAACACCAAAACCAGACAAAAAUAUCAAGAUAAAUCAAGAAAAUUAUAAACCAAUAUCUCUUAUGAAUAAAGACACAAAAAUCCUCAACAAAAUACUAUCAAACUGAAUCCAGCAACAUAUUAAAAGGAAGGUAUACUGUGGCCAAGUAGGAUUUAUCCCAGGAAUGCAAGGAAAAGUGAAAAUCAAUUAAUAUACCUUACUAGUCAAAUAAAGGACAGAAACCAUAUUAUCAUCAUGGUAGACAUAGAAAAACAUUUGACAAAAUUCAACACUCCUUUGUGAUAAAAACACUCCUACUGCUACUUUUUGGUAGGAAUAGCGAACUUCCUCAAAAUCAAGAGCCAUUCUUUCCCCCUAAAAUCAGGAGCAAGGCAAGAAUAUCCACUUUCACUGCUUUGUUCAACAUGAAUGGAUUAACUCCAAAUGUUUCAAAGAUUAAAAGUAAGAGCUAAAAUGAAAAAAUUUCUUAGUGGAAGAUGGGUAAAUCUUUGCAACCUUGGUGUUGGCAAUGGUUUCUUAAAUAUGGUAUCAAAAGCACAAGCAACUAAAGAAAAAAAAGAUAAAUUGGAAUUUAAAUUGGAUGGAGUGAUGAAGAUGUUUUAAAAUUGAAUGUGUUGAUAGUUGCAUAACUGAAUAUACUAAAAACUAUCGAAUUUCAUGGUAUGUGAAUUAUAUUUGUUUUUUUUUAAUGUUUAUUUACUUUUGAGAGAGAGAGAGAGAGAGGGAGAGAAUGAGUGGGGAGGGGCAGAGAGAGCCAGAGACACAGAAUCCAAAGCAGGCUCCAGGCUCCGAGCUGUCAGCACAGAGCCCGACAUCAGGCUCGAACCCGCAAGCCAUGAGAUCAUGACCUGAGCCAAAGUCAGACACUCAAUCAACUGAGCCACCCAGGUACUCCUAUGUGAACUAUAUUUCAAAUGAAGAAAAGAAAAUCAGGGGCCCCUGGGUGGUUCAGUCAGUUAUGUAUCUGACUCUUGAUUUCAGCUCAGGUCACGAUCUCACGGUUUGCAGGAUCGAGCCUGUGUUAGGCUCUGUGUUGAGAACGUGGAGCCUGCUUGGCAAAUUCCCUCUCUCUCUCUCUCUGUGCCCCUUCCCUCCCCUGCACACUCUCUCUCUCUCAAAAAUAAACUUAAAUAUAAACAUCAAAAGGCAAACAAAACAAAACCCACUUUAAUAUACUUCACCAAAGAAGAUAUAAAAAUGUUCAAUAAGCUGGGGCACCCGGGUGGCUCAGUGGGUUGAGUGUCCAACUUUGGCUUAGGUCAUGAUCUCCUGGCUUAUAAGUUUGAGCCCACAUCGAGCUCGUUGCUUUCAGCCUAUCAGUGCAGAGCUGGCUUCUGACCCUCUGUCCUCCUCUCUGUGGCCCUUCCCCACCUGUGCUCUCCCAAAAAUAAGUAAAUAUUUUUUUAAAUGUCCAAUAAGCCAUGGAAAGAUACUAAGUAUCAUUAUGAUUCAGGAAAGUGCAAAUUAAACCCAUAAUGAGAUACCACAACACACUAAACAGAACAACUAAAAUUAUAAUGACUGAGAGUACCAACUGCUUACAUUAUAGAAAUUCUCGCUGACCUCAUAUCCCAGCCACUGAUUAGCACAAGUACUUAACCCAUAAGGACACUUCAGUUGUACCAUAGUUCCUGCCAUUAUAGCCCUUUGGCAGCUUCUGUAUCUACUUACCACUGUCGAUACCUGGACCGCUGCGUAGAGCUGGCUGUUCACUUUGUAAAGUAUGCAACCAUGUACCUACAAAUAAAUUUUUAUUUUAUGAAAGUCAGGUCUUCACCUUUGGCUCUUGGGCGAUUCCAAAAGUAGAAAGUAGGUUACUUGAUGCUAUUUUAGGUUUGUUUUCUUAAGUUUGUCAUUAGUUGUUCUCUGUCUCCCCAGUAAAUGGAAAAUAAACCACUUUCUAUGUUCCAAGCAACCAUAAUCCACAGUAGUUAACCAUUUCCAUUGUAUGGAUAAAAACUGCAGCUGAGAGAAUCUUGAUUUGCUCAAGGCAGGACACAGUGAAACCGCUGUUUGAUCCCAGUCUGAGAGUUACAAAGCCCAGGUCCUAUGGCCUAUAUUGAAGUCCCUGAAAGAUAGUAUAUUGGAUUCUUUUUACAACACACUUGCCUUUGAGUUUCAGAGUGAUUUUUUUCAGAGUAUAUUUAAUAUUCCACUGUAAAGAAUCUGUGUUUAAUUAAUAUAUCUAUGGAGUGCUUCCUGUAUGUGGGUACUGUUUGUAGAGAUGAAUACAUUGAUCCAGACUUGUAGAAAGCUCAGAGUUUCGUAGAGAAGGCAAGUGUGCAAAUAAACAUUUUCAAUACAGUAAGAUAACUGCAGUGGGAGAAGUCUUUAGUAAGUACAGUGGCUAACAAAAAAGGAAGUGAUCAACUGCUGGAGUGGUUAUUGAAGAUGAGAAAAUGGCAUAGGACAUGCAAGGAUGGAUGGGUAGGAGUUUGUCAGUUGGUCAGCUGACCUGUGGGUGUCUGUUUCUGUGUCAUGACUAAGUGUGGAAACCAUGUAUGCAUAAACAUCAGUAUUUGAUUUAAGUAAAUAACUACUUAAAGGUAGAAAAAAUUCAUUGUUAGUUGGCAGGAAUGCUGUGUUCCUUUACACCUUUUUAAUAAUUAGCUUUGUGUUAAGAUAUAAUUAAAACCUCUGAGCAAAAUGCAGAAGCCUUAGAAGGGCAAUGCUUUUUAUUGGCAU